CCAUCUCCAAGCUCAGGUGCAGUCCA
rnacentral:piRNA from 1 species